GAGAUAGCUCAGUUGGUUAGAGCGUCAGAUUGUGGCUCUGAAGGUCGUGAGUUCGACUCUCAUUCUC
rnacentral:tRNA from 1 species